GUAAUGCCUGUUUAAAAUGAUUUGCUUUUUAAGUUCCGAAGUUCACUAUAAAGGGUCUUUGAAGAGGCAAUAAAAUCUGUUAUUGAUUUUCAUAUUUUUAACAAAGAUGACAUGGUUCUAUUAGUGGUCAUGCUUUUCAAUUUGUGUGUUUAAACAUACUUUAACCCCCUAUUUAAUGUAAGUCUCUUAGGCUUCAUUUUUUCCACUUGCAAAGUAGUUCUCAGAACAAUCCUUCUGAACCUGCCUCAGCAACGAUUCUGAGAGUACUUGGUUUUUCUCUGGUAGGUAGUAUUGGUGAUUUUGCUACUUAAAUGAAAAUAUCUUUUAUUUUCCUAAAAAUAUUGGUCUAAAGUCUUUGGACUGGAAGGAGUGGAUAAAAUGAGAAUUGAAGUUGACAGCUGGUGACCUAAGGGGAUUCAUGACUGUCUGCAAACUACAGGAAGGAGUCCUCCUACAGAACAAAUAUAGAUGAACUUAAUGUUUUCUUGCAGUUUGUUUUUUGUUUCCAGUCUUCAAAGUUGAAAAAGUUUUGUGUUUUCCAAUAGCAAAGAAUUGGCCUACAAAAUCUAUGAAUCGUAAGUUAAAGUACAUAGUUGUAGUGUUUCAUUUUAUUUUGAGUGUUGUGCAUUUUAUAACACAGGUUAUUUACUCCAAACUUAUCUGCUCAAGUUCCUCAAGUAUUGUGCCAUGACUUACACAUUUACCAGAGUAAAAUAGGACAAAUUUGAAUAUCAGCAUUUAUUUUAAGGCACCAACAUUUAUUUCCUCAAUUAUUGUGCCAUGACUUGCACAUUUACCACAAGGAAGGGCAUGUAGCUGAAGCAAACUUCCGCGGCUUUCAGGUAGUAAUCUUCCAACUACUGUUGGCAGCAAUGCAGAUUGUCAAAUGCACACUUAAACUUAAAAUUUGGGGAUAAUUCAGAAAGAAUUCCGAGAUGUUUAUCCUAAAGAUUAUGUGUUAGUUACACUUAAAUAGAGGCAAAUUAAGCUUGAAAGUAAUCAUUAAACAUAAAAUAGUUCCUGGGAUCUGCUACACUUAAUUAAAUCAAAUUUAUUUUUCUCCAGUUCUGUAUCAGGUAGCGGGGGGAAAGUGAGGAAUUCUGGAUUUGGAGCUUGAGGUCCGGGAUUCAAGUUCCAACUUUGCAGCUUAUUACCUCCACCACCUUUUGAGAAAUAAAAUCCAGUGAGAUUCAACAAAUUGUCAAGUUACACACUUCUGAAUGACAGAUUUGGGACCAGAAUCUAGACCUCAGAAUCCUCUGUUUCCUCGGGGUGCUCAGCAGCUUGGAGUCCUGCAACAGAUUCUUCUUUUCCUGAAUAAGUCAUUUUCAGAGUCAUCUGGAUUUUCAGAAUCAGAUGAAUCCUCACAUUAUCAUAAUCAUCAUCUUCAUCAUCAUCUUCAUCUUCAUCAUGGUCAGCAGCAGCAGCCUCUCCAGCUACAUCACCUUCUUCAUCAUGAUGUACUUCACUAAAGCUAAGUUCACAGUGUCAUCUAUCCCUUCCUGAAAAUUGACUAUUGACAGCUGGCUGAUAUUGAAACUCCAGUUCCUCAUCAAUUUUCUUGUCUUCUUCCCCUUUUCAGAAGUAAGAUAUUGAUUUUUGAUCUCCUGUAACAAGACGGCCAGUUUGUUCUUUUUUUUCCACACUCAUGUCUAAAGAAUGUUUACUUUCUUUCUUCAUUACCUAAGUUUGCUAAUUACAAAUUGCUAGGUCCAAGAUUGUUGUCUGUGAAGACUGAACACUUCACCCUGUGAGGAUAGGACUCCCUUGGUGGUGCUCAUCAUUUUGGGAUCUGGAAGGAAAACGCUCAACCUACUUGUGGUUCUUAGCAGUGUUGCCAGCAGCCUGCCAUCUGCCAUGGCUGAAGUAGCCCACUCGAGAAUGCUCUUCACAAUUCAUUCAUUUUUAAGGGGUUAUAAAAAAAAUCAUGUAAAGGAAAAGGAAACACUUCCGUUAGGUGCAAACUCUCUAAUUUAAUAUUAAUAUUAAUUAGUCAAGGCAUAUGAAAGCAUUGUUUAGAAAUAUUUUACCAUAUAAGAAGGAUCAACCAUAAAAAAUAUUUCUUCCCUUAUAAAAAGGAUGUUAUUUAAAUAUAUAGCUAUAAUUUCAUAAUUUUGCAUUCAAUUGUGAUGCAGAUAUUUAUAUUUAAUUAGUCUACACUAACAUAGACAUUUUAUACAUGUUCAUUUUUUAUUAAAGUAUGAAAUACAAUGUUAAACAUAUGAAACACAUAGGUGUUUUGUUCACAUUUAAAUGUUUUUCUAUUUUAGCAUACUUUUAACUUACUACAGGUAAUUAAUCAUAAAAUAUAGCUAAGCAGUUUCCAAAAUUUGUAAUUAUCACUAGAGGACAUAUGACUAAUUUGAGAUGACUCACCAGAGAGAUGAAUAAAUUAAGUCUGUCAUAAUGUUAUAUAUCUAUUAAAAUGUUUUUAAAAAUUCACUGCAUACACAUUUUAACUAAUUUUCAAUUAUUAAUAAUAGCCAUUAAAAUGUUAAAAAGUUUAUAAAUAUCUAAGGGACCUCAUUUAAGUUAUAAAUUAAUUGUGAAAGAUUGUCUUAAAAAAAUGAAUGUAAUGAAAGUAGCCUCUGAAUUGUAAUACUUAAAAUAAGGCAUUGGAAUAGCCAAUUAUUUUUAUAUCUAUUUGCAAAUUAAAAGUUAUAAUGCAAAAACAAAUCUGGGUCGGGUACAGUGGCUCACGCCUGUAAUUCUAGCACUUUGGGAGGCUGAGGUGGGCAGAUCACGAGGUGAGGAAUUUGAGACCAGCCUGGCCAAUAUGGUGAAACUGCAUCUCUACUAAAAAUAGAAAAAAUCAGCCGGGUGUGGUGGUGCACAUCUGUAGUCCCAGCUACUCAGGAGGCUGAAGCAGGAGAAUUGCUUGAACCCAGGAGGCAAAUGUUGCAGGAGUCGAGAUCAUGCCACUGCACUCCAGCCUGGGCGACAGAGCAAGACUCUGUUUC